GUCCCUACAUCGGUCCAAUAUGAACUCUCAAAGUCAGAGGUCACGUCCCAAGUUUGCAAAGCCCCUAUCCCCAUUUGACACAGUAGUUAACUAGGAAAAUAAACAGUAAAUUUUAGACAAAAUGGGAUACAAACCUCAACAAUUACUUCAUGGAAAGAUUUAAAAUGGCACGUGACAACUAAAGCUACAUUCCUUAAUUUUUCUAAUGAAAUAUAUACUUGCCACUACAGUGUUUUUUGUCAAAGCACUUCACUUUUAGCAGAAAAAUUCUAACAUUGAGGAAAAAUCAAUUUUGGUGGCAAAUCACAAGCUCUCCCUAGCUGGAGAAGUAUAGUCACAGCACACGUCUUCCCAGAACCCUCCUCCAGGCCCCCAGCACCUCCUUGUUCCUCAGGCUGUAGAUGAGGGGGUUCAGGGCUGGGGUGACCACGGUGUAGAAGACAGAGGUGAUGCGGUCCUGCCCGGGGCUGUGCAGGGAGCUGGGCAGGACGUACAUGACCGUGGCGGCUCCAUAGAACAUCCCCACCACAGUCAGGUGGGAAGAGCACGUGACCAGGGCUUUCUGCCUCCCCUCGCUCGAGGGCAUGUGGAGCACAGUAAGCAGGAUCAGUGCGUAGGAGGCAACAAUGACCGAAAGAGGUAGCAAGAGGAAAGUCACACCUGUCACGUACACCAUGAGCUCAUAUCCGGAGGUAUCGGCACAGGCCAACUUCAGCAGAGGUGGGAUCUCACAGAGCAGGUGGCUGAUUUUUCGGGACCUACAGAAAGGAUAGUGCAUGGUAUACAGGGUGUGCCCUAGAGCACUCAGGGAUGCCAGGACCCAGGAUGUGGCCACCAGGAGCCAGCAGACCCCCGGUCUCAUGAGGACCAUGUAGCUCAGAGGAUGGCAGAUGGCCACAUACCUGUCAUAGGCCAUGAAGGCCAGGAGGAGGUCCUCGGCGCCACCCAGUGCCAGUGCCAGGAACAUCUGAAGGGCACAGCCCCCAAAGGAGAUGGUGCUCUCCCCCAGCAGAAAAUCCACGAGGGCCUUGGGAGUGACGACAGACGUGAACAGGAGGUCCAUGAGGGACAGCUGCCCGAGCAGCAGGUACAUGGGCGCGUGGAGCCGGGCAUCCACUGUGAUGACCAGGAGCAGCAGGCCAUUGCUGGUCAGGGCCAGCAUGUACAGGACUGCGAUUGCGGCGCAGAGCAGCCCAGGAGACCCACUGUCAUUCAGAAUCCCCACCAAGAUGAAGCCACUUCCCGGGGUGGAGUUCCAAAACUGAGGGCUCUCACUGUGGCUCAGAGGGUUAAGAACCUGCCACAGUGGCCAUGAGGAUGCGGCUUUGAUCGCUGGCCUCGCUCACUGGGUUAAGGAUCUGGUGCGGUCACAAGCUGCAGUGUAGGUCACAGAUACUGCAUGGGUCUGGUGUUGCGGCUGUGGCACAGGCCUCAGCUGCAGCUCGCAUGCAGCCCCUGGCCUAGGAAGAUCCACAUGCUGCAGCUGCAGCCACAAAAAGAAAAUAGAAGGAAAAGGAGAAACUCUAAGUGAAUCCCAUGCCUCCAAAUCCCUUCCCCCUUUAUGCUGUACAGUCCUGACAUUUCACUAGUUCCCAUUAGCCUCUACGAGGGCCACAGAACUUUAAAGUAAAGAGGUAUUAAAGCACAUGACGGGCCUCUCAUCUGCCCCAAAUGUUCCUUUGGAGGCAUCUAUCAUCACACAGGUGUAAACACUUUCUAUCAGAGGCCAGCAAAGCCCACUGGGUCAAAACACAGGUCCCGACGACUCCAUCAGGAAUCAGAGACCCAGGCCUGGGAGGCAGCAUCGGAUCGUCCAUCAGUCCUCACCGAUCCCUCUUCCGGUGGAGAAAACCAAGCACAGAGGAGACUGGGAGGCGGUGCGAGCCAAAGCUCCAGGGAACCCGGAGGACGGAGGAGCUGUGGUUCUGGGGUCUGCCCCGGGCCCUCUCCCUCUGCUCAGCUUUCCUAGAGCUGCACACGGCCCCACAGCCGAGACAAGAGUCUUACCUCCGGGCUGAGAAGCCCAGCUGCCUGACCACACAGAACACCUGGGGAUUGUCCGAGGGUCAGGGAAGCUCCAGUACAAGGCAGCAGGCAGACAGGACUUCUCCUGCAGCGUCCAGCUGGCUAAAUUGUGCUCAGCUGGCUCCGACCCAGGUCGGUCUACACGCCCUCUGCCCUUCCAGUCCGCUGCAGUCUGCACUGGAGAAGCAGCACUUACAGGCAGAGGGCAAUGCAGCCCUUGGGGAGUUUCUGUGAAGCACCGAGGUAGGUUUCCCCCUCUCACGCCUAAGGAGAAUCAGCAGAAACCCCUUCUCUCACACGGCUCCCCAGGGAGGAGGCCCACCCAGCUCUGCAGCACUUGUCAGACUGAGUUCUUGGUUACAGGUGCUCAGACCUUCACCUUCGCGUGCUGGCGUCUGGGAGAAAAGACGACAGCAGCCCCAGGCUGGAGGCAGGAGAUAUAGGAAGGGCUGCCCUGAGGAGACCCUGCCACGCCUGAUCUCACUGUCCCUGGGGCCGGGGGAGGGGGGGCCAAGGCUUGUCCUGGGGAGUUUCCUCAUCCCACGGCCCCACCCCUCUACUCUAUUCUACCCCGGUGCGCAGAGGCACUUGUCUUCCCAGCGGACGGGCCUCCCCUGGAAAUGCUGGUCCAGGAGACAGGAUGGUAAUGAAUCCCUCAGGGCACGUUUCAGCCCUGGAGCCCUGCCCUCUUCCUCCCCUAGAUGAGCUGGGAGGCCCUGGGCUUCAUGCCACCUAAGGCAGCCACCGAUGAGCCUGAAGAGCCGCCUGGGCAGACCCAGGAGCCAGGGCCCCUUUCACGGUCAGCCUCUGCCCUGACGUUAAGGUGGGCUUUGUGGCAUCUGUGGGAUGCGGGCUCCUUCAUCCUCCUCCAGCCUGGCUGUUCACAUUCAACGGGACUGCACGGUGGAGGCUGUAAUUACACGCCCUUCCCUUCACCGAACUUGGGCCGUCUCGUGUGUCCUCUACAAAACUUGUGUGUUUGGUGUGACUACUACUGUCUGCCGCCAAUGACCUCUGAGGAGAACGUGUGCAAUUUUGAAAAUGUUGGGCAGGAACAGCAUAAAGAAACACACCGUUCGGGAGCUGGAGGACGUCGGCGUUAAUGCAAAUCUCCUCUAAAUGCUCCCAGAGAAACAACACAGACUUCCCACGGAUAAAGACAGUCAGCACAUGGUGGACUCUUCAGUGACAUGACAGGCAAGAGAGAAAUGCCUCCAAAAGUGUGGAGGAAACCUAAGGCCCCCACUAGUGGUCCAU
ensembl:lncRNA